GGUGGCUCAGUAGUACAGCGCUUGCCUUGUAUGCAUGAGGCCCUGGGUUUGAUUCCCCAGUACCA
rnacentral:tRNA from 1 species